rnacentral:rRNA from 1 species
AAGCGCUCAUGACCAGACUUGGGCCCGGUGAAUCAUCCAGCGUUCUCGCUGGUGCACUUUGCCGGUGCCCAGGCCAGCAUCAGUUCGCCCCGGGGGAUAAAGGCUCUGGGAAUGUGGCUCCCUAGGGAGUGUUAUAGCCCAUUGCACAAUACCCUGUGGCGGACUGAGGUUCGCGCAUCUUGCAAGGAUGCUGGCGUAAUGGUCAUCAGCGA